rnacentral:rRNA from 1 species
UACGAAGGGGGCGAGCGUUGUUCGGAGUUACUGGGCGUAAAGGGUGUGUAGGCGGUUGUUUAAGUUUGGUGUGAAAUCUCCCGGCUCAACUGGGAGGGUGCGCCGAAUACUGAGCGACUAGAGUGCGGGAGAGGAAAGUGGAAUUCCUGGUGUAGCGGUGAAAUGCGUAGAUAUCAGGAGGAACACCGGUGGUGUAGACGGCUUUCUGGACCGUAACUGACGCUGAGACACGAAAGCGUGGGGAGCAAACAGG